rnacentral:lncRNA from 1 species
GACUGAGUGAAUUUGAUCUGUUCCAUGAUGCAGCCAUGUUUCUACAGGAUAUGGGCCCUAUAGAUCAAGGAGCAGUUCCAUUCUCAUAUACAGAUAAUAUGAUAAAUCAGGUAAGUUACCAGCUGGAACCCCAAUCAAAUAUAAGCCUGAUGGAGCAGCAGUUGCAAACGCAGUCUAAUUUAAACCUGAUGGAUGAGCAAUUGCAACUCCAAUCAAAUAUUAAUCUGAUGGAUCCGCAGUUG